CCCCCAACAUCGCGCGAUAUACAGGAAAUUGAGUAGCUUCCUUGUUCCGUCUGCCCCCUGCCUGCCCGUAACAAACCCCACUUGAUCUUCAUGUAUCAGGAAGGGAAGCAUGUGUGAUACUCUAUUCGCGUAAAUUUUUGCUAGGAGUUUUGUGUCCGUAUUUAGUAGGGAUAUGGGUCUCAUGUUCUGAGGUGUGGUCGGUGGUUUUCCGGGUUUCAGUAUUGUUGCAAUAUGAGCUAGAAGCAUUUCUGGUGCCAUGAUUCCUGUGUCUAUGAUGUGGUUUAAUGCUUUGAGUAGGUGUGGGCCUAGGGUGUUGGAAUAGGUUUUAUAGUAAGUAUUUGUGAAUCCAUCAGAGCCCAGGGAUUUUCACGAUGGGAGGGCCUUGAUCGCUUCUUUAAGCUCUGUUAGUGUAAUUGUGGCUUGUAG